rnacentral:ncRNA from 2 species
UCUAUAAGCGAGGGGAGCCCACCACGGGCUGAGACGGUUAACGACCGGACCCUUUGAACCUGAGAGUUAGAACUCGCGUAGGGACGGCUAUGAGAAACGAA